rnacentral:lncRNA from 1 species
AACUAAGAUGUUUCAAGAUCAUUUAAUAUUGUCUUCAUCCCCGACCUGAGAUCAGCCAUUAUCUGCAAGGAGCCCUGGUUCCUUUUAGGUUACUUCACCCCUGGGGUCUCGACUCAGAAUAGAGAUUGAGAAUCACAGAUCUAGUUGAACCAUCCAACUUUUGAACAUGAAUAAACUGAGGACCCAGAGGUGAAGUGAUUUUUCCACAGUCCCACGACAGAUAUGGCCAAACCAGGGAUCCUUUUGCAUUGUGGUUUUGGGAAUCACCUGUAAACAGUAAGAACAAAGUAGCAAGGCUGGGGCUCAGCUGUAGACAAUAAAGCCUUUGCCUGAGGGUUGCAGGAAUGAGAGGCCUCUCUGAGAGGCCCCAAGUCGAUUUUGCCCUUCUCCAGAGACAGAGAGCUGGUCUACCUGAGGCUGACAUGGGGAGGAAAGGCAAAGAGAAGGAUUGCCUGAAUGUCAAUGGUGAUUUUGCACAUUUUACAGUCACUUUUAUAAAAAGGUAAGUGGAAAAAAAUUCUAUUUUCCAUUUCCUGCCAGGUUUUAUAUUUUACCCUUCACUUGCAAAAAAUGUCCAAAUCCAAUGCUUACACUUUAGAGGUGUAAUUUGGUUCUAAUUUUAUUUUAAAAAAUUUGCAGAUAGAGUUAGUGGCUCACUGUAUCGUUUUAUUUUUUCUAAAGCAGUAUAAUUUCUGGAGUGCAAAUGAGAAAGAUUCAAGAUGCCUGGUAUAAGAUAUAAAUUUAGUUAAAAUUGUUCCUCUAGAGUGUAAAUUAUACAUUGUGAUCCUGAUAUUCUAGUAAUAUUAACAAAACUGAUGCAUAAUCUUAAAGUUUAUGUGCCUCUACCC